AGUGAACGCUGGCGGUAGGCCUAACACAUGCAAGUCGAACGGCAGCACAGUAAGAGCUUGCUCUUACGGGUGGCGAGUGGCGGACGGGUGAGGAAUACAUCGGAAUCUACUUUUUCGUGGGAGAUAACGUAGGGAAACUUACGCUAAUACCGCAUACGACCUACGGGUGAAAGCAGGGGAUCUUCUGACCUUGCGCGAUUGAAUGAGCCGAUGUCGGAUUAGCUAGUUGGCGGGGUAAAGGCCCACCAAGGCGACGAUCCGUAGCUGGUCUGAGAGGAUGAUCAGCCACACUGGAGCUGAGACACGGUCCAGACUCCUACGGGAGGCAGCAGUGGGGAAUAUUGGACAAUGGGCGCAAGCCUGAUCCAGCCAUACCGCGUGGGUGAAGAAGGCCUUCGGGUUGUAAAGCCCUUUUGUUGGGAAAGAAAAGCAGCAGGUUAAUACCCCGCUGUUCUGACGGUACCCAAAGAAUAAGCACCGGCUAACUUCGUG
rnacentral:rRNA from 1 species